rnacentral:lncRNA from 1 species
CUGCCGGUUGCACCAGUCCCAAAGCCAUGUGUUAAUGUGGUGAGCCCGCUUGUCAGCAGCAAUCCUCCCUAUCGGAAGGACAGAGGCAAACACAACCUGUGCCCCUGAUCCUUUAAGUAGUUGCCCCAAAGCCCCUUUUGAUUGCUCUCGGACUUCUCAUUGCUACCUUGUCAUUACCAGCCUGAAAGACCAGUAGCGGGUAGUAGUCAGUGGGCUGUACCAGGUGCUUGACUUUCUUAGCUAAGUCUCUCACCCGAGCUCCACGGAGACAACAGACUUCCCUGUGGGUUGGGUCCAGUCGGCAUAUCGGGCCCUCUGUCCCUUUCAAAAGGGAGUUCCCCAUGAAAAUAACCCUUCAGCCUUUCUUGACAGAUGAUGUAGCAAUGCAAGGCGUAGGUUGCCUUGCCUUAGACACCCUCUCCAACUGAGAUGGGCUUUCGUCUACUUAUUGUUCUGACUGUUGUGUUCUAGAGCCUUGUACCUGUUACAUAAGGGUAGAUGGGAAGGUGAGGUGGGCAGGGACGGGGCUCGCCUACCACCCCAAACAGGAACCUGCCUCCAUUUCCCCCCUUGGCCUAGGUCCCCUCUUACUGCCAGGUGGGAUGAGGGGACUUUUGUCUUCUGCGUAGCAGGAGGCACCUGUGCUGCGGCAGGCUCCUGAGUCUGUCUCAGAGAGGGUAGAGUACACUACCAGCCAAUUUUCCUCUCUGACUCCCUGAUGCUCCUGAGCCUGCUCACCUCCUCCCGAAGCCCCACUACCUGUUUGAGCAACUCUUCAAUCUGGGCACACCUCCCACAGGCAUACCCCUCGCUGCUGCUGUUGGAUACCGACAGAAGACUCGGGCACACCCUGCAGCCCAAGACCUGGACGGCGGUGUGUUUCCCCGGGCCCUCUGUCUGAGUAGCCACAUCGGUGACCGCGGCUGAAGAGGCCGCAAGAGAUGCAGAGGCCAUGGUUUUCUGCCUGGUUGAUACCAUGGCCAGGUUCCUUGCAAGCAGGUUACAAGUACCGAUGGGAAAGACCGCUGCAAAAGAGCGGCGAGGGGCCCUCCCUGCUCGCACUGCCCGCGCGAACUGCUGCGCCCCGCCUUUCUGCCACGCCGCGCUCCCUAGGGGCUGCUUUUGUACGGCCGGGGAGGGGGCGCUGCUGGCUCCGCCUACGCCUCGUCAGCCUCCCUCGCGGGGGCUGCCGGGCCCUGGCGGCUCCCUCGAGCAGCCUCGAUGCCGGAAAAAAAGCCCUGCCUGUCCCGAUCCCCCGCUCCGCUGCAGAACGCGUCUGCCCCGGAGCCGAUCACCUCAGCAAGUCCUCAUUGGACUCAUCGCCUCGCCGUGACCUGACAGUGUGA